AUUUAUAGUGUAUGUGCAGUGGAUGUAGUGUGUAUAGUGUAUGCAGAGUGUGUGUUUGUGCAGUGGAUGUAGUGUGUAUGUGCAGUGGAUGUAGUGUGUAUAGUGUGUGCAGAGUGUGUGUUUGUGCAGUGGAUGUAGUGUGUAUACAGAGUGUGUGUUUGUGCAGUGGAUGUAGUGUGUAUACAGAGUGUGUGUUUGUGCAGUGGAUGUAUAAGGAAUGCAAAGU